GGGGGUGUGGCUCAAUGGUAGAGCAUCUGCUUGGCAUGCAGAAGGUCCCAGGUUCUAUUCCCCAUCAUCUCCA
rnacentral:tRNA from 1 species